CGGGUAGCCUGCGAACAGGCUCUCAAGCUGAAUUGAGAGCCUGCAUCGAUGACUAAUGAAUUUGAAUACUUGCGUCUCAAAUCGUGACGCGAAAUUCUCAUUGGUCAGAUGCUAUAAUUUAUAUGUUUCCGCUGAACUCUAUAUAUGUCAACUGCUGAGUUAUGCAUAAAAAAACACAUUAACUGAUCAAAUUGGUCUUGGCCGUCUUAUCUCAAAGCACGAAAUGUUCUGUUUUGAGAAAACAGUAUUUAAAACAUUUGAACUUUUGCCUGAAUAUCUUAUAUUUCGAAAAACAGUAUGAACUGUACAGUCUAAAUUUAGUUUGCACGGUCUAAAUUUAGUUUGCACGAAAGUUGUAAACAACACCAUAUAAGGAUA